AUAAAGCUGCGUUGUUCGUACAAAUAUUAAGUUUUAACCUUUGAACUGUAAAAGGGAGUUUUAAUCGAAUAGGGAAUGGCGGGCGUCACACUCCGGUGAAUGACGAUAUACAGGAACUAUUCUGCGAGCACCCACCUGGUGGAGUCGUGGUUUUAAAACUUUCUAUUAAUAAUUACGGCAAGGCGGCUUUGCC
rnacentral:other from 2 species